rnacentral:tRNA from 1 species
GCCCGGGUAGCACAGUGGUAGUUUGCGCCUGCCUAGUAAGCAGGAGGUCCGCGGUUCGAUCCCGCGUCUGGGCA